rnacentral:lncRNA from 1 species
AAAUCCCAUACUCCCAUUGCAUUUCAACUCGCACAAACAAGCCCAAGAACAACAAUGAAAACCCAUACGUCCUUCCAAUUUCUGCCACCAGAACUUACUCAUAAGUGCCUUUAAGUCACGUCAUAAUGAAUUGGGAACCAAAAAGCAUUGCAUAGCAAAAGUAAGGAGUCUUUAUAAAACUAAUUUAAUAAAAACCUCCCUACGCCAUUGAGAUAAAAAC